CGGAUUAUUGGGCGUAAGCGCGCGCAGGCGGUCCUUUAAGUCUGAUGUGAAAGCCCACGGCUCAACCGUGGAGGGUCAUUGGAAACUGGGGGACUUGAGUGCAGAAGAGGAAAGUGGAAUUCCAAGUGUAGCGGUGAAAUGCGUAGAGAUUUGGAGGAACACCAGUGGCGAAGGCGACUUUCUGGUCUGUAACUGACGCUGAGGCGCGAAAGCGUGGGGAGCAAACAGGAUUAGAUACCCUGGUAGUCCACGCCGUAAACGAUGAGUGCUAAGUGUUAGGGGGUUUCCGCCCCUUAUGGCUGCAGCUAACGCAUUAAGCACUCCGCCGGGGGAGUACGGUCGCAAGACUGAAACUCAAAGGAAUUGACGGGGGCCCGCACAACCGGGGGAGCAUGUGGUUUAUUUCAAACCACCGCGAAAAACCUUACCAGGUCUUGACAUCCCGGUGACUUCUGUAGAUAUAUG
rnacentral:rRNA from 1 species